AGUGAACGCUGGCGGUAGGCCUAACACAUGCAAGUCGAACGGCAGCACAGUAAGAGCUUGCUCUUACGGGUGGCGAGUGGCGGACGGGUGAGGAAUACAUCGGAAUCUACUUUUUCGUGGGGGAUAACGUAGGGAAACUUACGCUAAUACCGCAUACGACCUACGGGUGAAAGCAGGGGAUCUUCGGACCUUGCGCGAUUGAAUGAGCCGAUGUCGGAUUAGCUAGUUGGCGGGGUAAAGGCCCACCAAGGCGACGAUCCGUAGCUGGUCUGAGAGGAUGAUCAGCCACACUGGAACUGAGACACGGUCCAGACUCCUACGGGAGGCAGCAGUGGGGAAUAUUGGACAAUGGGCGCAAGCCUGAUCCAGCCAUACCGCGUGAGUGAAGAGGGCCUUCGGGUUGUAAAGCCCUUUUGUUGGGAAAGAAAAGCAGCAGGUUAAUACCCCGCUGUUCUGACGGUACCCAAAGAAUAAGCACCGGUUAACUUCGUG
rnacentral:rRNA from 1 species